UACGUAGGGUGCAAGCGUUAAUCGGAAUUACUGGGCGUAAAGGGCUCGUAGGCGGUUUGUCGCGUCGGGAGUGAAAACCAGGUGCUUAACACCUGGCUUGCUUUCGAUACGGGCAGACUAGAGGUAUGCAGGGGAGAACGGAAUUCCUGGUGUAGCGGUGAAAUGCGCAGAUAUCAGGAGGAACACCGGUGGCGAAGGCGGUUCUCUGGGCAUUACCUGACGCUGAGGAGCGAAAGUGUGGGGAGCGAACAGG
rnacentral:rRNA from 1 species